rnacentral:tRNA from 1 species
GAUUUCGUGGUGCAGUGGUCAGCACACUCGGCGCAUAUCCGAGAGGUCCGUGGUUCGAAUCCCGGCGACGGCA